CGAGGAGGUGGUGAUGGGACCUCGAAGAGGUGAUAGAACCUCAUAGGGACCUCGAGGAGGUGGUGAUGGGACCUCGAAGAGGUGAUAGAACCUCAUAGGGACCUCGAGGAGGUGGUGGGACCCCAUAAAGACGUCGAGGAGGUGGUGGUGGGACUUCCAGGAGGUGGUGGGACCUCAUGGGGAGCUCAAGGUGGUGGUGAUGGGACCUCAUGGGGACCUCAAAGAGGUGAUAGAACCUCAUAGGGACCUCGAGGAGGUGGUGAUGGGACCUCGAAGAGGUGAUAGAACCUCAUAGGGACCCCGAGGAGGUGGUGGGACCCCAUAAAGAUGUCGAGGAGGUGGUGGUGGGACUUCCAGGAGGUGGUGGGACCUCAUGGGGAGCUCAAGGUGGUGGUGAUGGGACCUCAUAGGGACCUCCAGGAGGUGGUGGGAGCCCAUAGGGACCUCCAGGAGGUGGUGGUGGGACCUCCUCGGGACCUCCAGGGGGAGAUGGGACCUCAUAGGGACCUCCAGGAGGUGAUAGAACCCCAUAGGGACCUCGAGGAGGUGGUGAUGGGACCUCGAGGAGGUGAUAGAACCUCAUAGGGACCUCGAGGAGGUGGUGAUGGGACCUCGAAGAGGUGAUAGAACCUCAUAGGGACCCCGAGGAGGUGGUGGGACCCCAUAAAGAUGUCGAGGAGGUGGUGGUGGGACUUCCAGGAGGUGGUGGGACCUCAUGGGGAGCUCAAGGAGGUGGUGGUGGGACCUCCUCGGGACCUCCAGGGGGAGGUGGGACCCCAUAGGGACCUCCAAGAGGUGAUAGAACCCCAUAGGGACCUCGAGGAGGUGGUGAUGGGACCUCGAAGAGGUGAUAGAACCCCAUAGGGACCUCGAGGAGGUGGUGAUGGGACCUCGAAGAGGUGAUAGAACCCCAUAGGGACCUCGAGGAGGUGGUGGGACCCCGUAAAGACGUCAAGGAGGUAGUGGUGGGACUUCUAGGAGGUGGUGGGACCUCAUAGGGACCUCCAGAAGGUGGUGAUGGGACCUCGAAGAGGUGAUAGAACCUCAUAGGGACCUCGAGGAGGUGGUGGGACCUCAUAAAGACGUCCAGGAGGUGGUGGUGGGACUUCCCGGAGGUGGUGGGACCUCAUAGGGACCUCCAGGAGGUGGUGGUGGGACCUCCUCGGGACCUCCAGGGGGAGAUGGGACCUCAUAGGGACCUCCAAGAGGUGAUAGAACCCCAUAGGGACCUCGAGGAGGUGGUGAUGGGACCUCGAAGAGGUGAUAGAACCUCAUAGGGACCUCGAGGAGGUGGUGAUGGGACCUCGAAGAGGUGAUAGAACCUCAUAGGGACCUCGAGGAGGUGGUGGGACCCCAUAAAGACAUCGAGGAGGUGGUGGUGGGACUUCCAGGAGGUGGUGGGACCUCAUAGGGACCUCCAGGAGGUGGUGGUGGGACCUCCUCGGGACCUCCAGGGGGAGAUGGGACCCCAUAGGGACCUCGAAGAGGUGAUAGAACCCCAUAGGGACCUCGAGGAGGUGGUGGGACCCCAUAGAGACCUCCAGGAGGUGGUGGUGGGACUUCCAGGAGGUGGUGGGACCUCAUGGGGACCUCCAUAAGGUGGUGAUGGGACCUCAUAGGGACCUCGAGGAGGUGGUGGGAGCCCAUAGGGACCUCCAGGAGGUGGUGGGACCCCAUAGAGAAGUCAAGGAGGUGGUGGUGGGACCUCCAGGAGGUGGUGGGACCUCAUGGGGACCUUCAGGAGGUGGUGAUGGGACCUUCAGGAGGUGGUGAUGGGACCUUCAGGAGGUGGUGGGACCUCAUGGGGACCUCGAGGAGGUGGUGAUGGGUCCUCAUGGGGACAUUGAGGAGAUGGUGGAACCUCAUGGGGAGCUCCAGGAGGUGGUGGUGGGACCUCAUGAGGACCUCCAGGGGGAGAUGGAACCUCCUGGGGACCUCCAGGGAGUGAUGGGAGCCCAUAGGGACCUCGAGGAGGUGGUGGUGGGACUUCCAGGAGGUCUUGGGACCUCAUAGGGAGCUCAAGGUGGUGGUGGGAGCCCAUAGGGACCUCCAGAAGGUGAUGGGAGCCCAUAGGGACCUCCAGGAGGUGGUGCUGGGACCUCAUAGGGACCUUGAAGAGGUAGUGGGACCCCAUAGAGACCUCAAGGAGGUGGUGGGACCCCAUAGGGACCUCCAGGAGGUGGUGGGACCUCAUUGGGACCUCCAGGAGGUGGUGAUGGGACCUCAUAGGGACCUCGAAGAGGUAGUGGGACCCCAUAGGGACCUCGAGGAGGUGGUGGGACCCCAUAGAGACGUCAAGGAGGUAGUGGUGGGACUUCCAGGAGGUGGUGGGACCUCAUAGGGACCUCCAGGAGGUGGUGAUGGAACCUCAUAGGGACCUCGAGGAGGUGGUGGGAGCCCAUAGGGACCUCCAGGAAGUGGUGAGACCCCAUAGAGAAGUCAAGGAAGUGGUGGUGGGACCUCCAGGAGGUGGUGGGACCUCAUGGGGACCUCCAGGAGGUGGUGGUGGGACCUCAUAGGGACCUCCAGGAGGUGGUGGGACCUCAUUGGGACCUCCAGGAGGUGGUGAUGGGUCCCCAUAGGGACCUCCAAGAGGUGAUAGAACCUCAUGGGGAGCUCAAAGAGGUGAUGGGACCCCAUAGAGACGUCGAGGAGGUGGUGAUGGGACCUCAUAGGGACCUCGAAGAGGUAGUGGGACCCCAUAGGGACCUCCAGGAGGUGGUGAUGGGACCUCCAGGAGAUGGUGGAACCUUACGGGGACCUCCAGGAGGUGGUGGGACCCCAUAGGGACCUCCAGGAGGUGGUGGGACCUCAUGGGGACCUCCAGGAGGUGGUGGGACCUCAUUGGGACCUCCAGGAGGUGGUGAUGGGA